GGCCGUGUGCCCGAGUGGUCAGGGACCCGCCUGCAAAGCGGUAUACGCCGGUUCGAAUCCGGUCACGGCUU
rnacentral:tRNA from 1 species